CAAAUGACUCAAAUAUUUUUUGUUUCUCAUCAAUAGUAUGU
rnacentral:antisense_RNA from 1 species